CUGACAGAUUUAUGAUCUGAUGCACGGUUGUCUAGAAAAAGGGGUUUCAAUGGUGUGUGUGUGUGGUUUUAAUGGUGGAUCGUGGAGAAGGUUGGUUUUGUCGCAAAUCGGCGACCAAAUUGGAUGAAACAAAAUGCUAGAUUCGAUGCCCCAGUCGUGCUGAGCGCGCUGGAGUGAUCCGAUCGAAAAUCCGACGAAUGGAUCUUUGGGAAUAGUGAAGCGUUCGCUGAGGGGUCGAAAUUGGCAAAACGGAAAAAUUGCGAAAGACCUAAUAUUUUAU
rnacentral:lncRNA from 1 species